AACCACGGUCUCUUGGUAGAGUGUAUCAACUAUUUUGGCAUUACGAAAUGUAUAAAUCACACAAAAGCAUGCAAAAUAAUCAAACAAAACAAAACAAUCCGAAAUGUAAAGUCCUGUCCAAUUAUUACAACCCAAAAUAAAAAAAGACUAAAAGUAAACCUACGCUAAUCCUAAACUGAUGCUCUACCCGCCGCCUCGGGCCUUCACCACG
rnacentral:lncRNA from 1 species